UUAGGCAACGUGAUCAACAAAAAAAUUAAUAGCGAAGCGGAGAUUCUUCCAUGUCCUUCCAUGACUGAAUUCUCAACUUCUUCAAUUCCUUCAACUUCUCAACAAGACCUCGAUGGUUUUGGAGGAAAAGAAACACCUUCAGCGUCAUCUAUCACUCCUUCUUUUGUCCCCGAGACCCCAAGACAAAGAGAAACAUCCCGAGGAAAAAAAAAUGCUGACAGUAAUGUUUCUACUUUGAUAAACAUAGCAGAGAAAAUUCAAACCACUGUACAGUCCUCAAAAAAUACAAUGAAUUCAUCAGAAGCAUUUGAAACAUUUGUGGGAAUAACGCUUAUGGAAAUGCCCGCAGAGGUUCGCCAAAA